rnacentral:rRNA from 1 species
UGAGGAAUAUUGGUCAAUGGGCGAGAGCCUGAACCAGCCAAGUCGCGUGAGGGAAGACGGCCCUAUGGGUUGUAAACCUCUUUUGCCGGGGAGCAAAGAACCGCACGUGUGCGGUCUGGAGAGUACCCGGAGAAAAAGCAUCGGCUAACUCCGUGCC